GGGCCCCUGAGGACUGCACCAGCACCUCUCUCUGGGGGGAACACUUCUCAGACCUUCCAGUCUCUCAGUUUGAUGAUACUCAGAGGACCAUCAUUGAAGGCUGAUGACAGAGCCUGGAAUGAUGUUCCCACUCCUGAGAGUUCAAUCCUUGCCCAUUGAGAAGAUGCAAAGUCAUGAUCUUAAUCAGAAUGCCCUUCACUGAUAGACACGAAGGGCGAGCUACCCAAGAAUGCAAGAAAGAAACUAUUCAGGCUCAACUGUACUCCAUCCUCAACUCCUCUGCCUCCUUCACUUUGAGCAAGCAGGAGCAGUAAGGUCAUUGCUUGUUAGAGAAAACCUGUAUUUUCUCUCAUUACACUUUCUUGAGGGGGAAAAGAACUUUGAAUGCAACAUUAUGGAGAAAUAGGCAUGGUGCAGAACCACGACGUCAGUGUUUACCAG